rnacentral:piRNA from 1 species
UGGAAUGGACACGUUGAAACUCUAUU